rnacentral:rRNA from 1 species
AUGAACGCUGGCGGCGUGCCUAAUACAUGCCAGUCGAGCGAACAGACGAGGAGCUUGCUCCUCUGACGUUAGCGGCGGACGGGUGAGUAACACGUGGAUAACCUACCUAUAAGACUGGGAUAACUUCGGGAAACCGGAGCUAAUACCGGAUAACAUGUUGAACCGCAUGGUUCAACAGUGAAAGACGGUCUUGCUGUCACUUAUAGAUGGAUCCGCGCCGCAUUAGCUAGUUGGUAAGGUAACGGCUUACCAAGGCAACGAUGCGUAGCCGACCUGAGAGGGUGAUCGGCCACACUGGAACUGAGACACGGUCCAGACUCCUACGGGAGGCAGCAGUAGGGAAUCUUCCGCAAUGGGCGAAAGCCUGACGGAGCAACGCCGCGUGAGUGAAGAAGGUCUUCGGAUCGUAAAACUCUGUUAUUAGGGAAGAACAAAUGUGUAAGUAACUAUGCACGUCUUGACGGUACCUAAUCAGAAAGCCACGGCUAACUACGGG